GGGGGAGAAAAUGGGGAGUUGUCAUGGCGACCGGCCCGCCGAACGCCCCUCUGAGGGGGGAACCGUGGCGGGGAGGCAAAUUUUGAGGUGGAAAAAGGGAAAUCUGGGGAAAUGCUGAGGGGAAAAGCCGGCUGGGUGCAGGCACCGACAUGGCCUUGCUGCGCUGCUCUCUCCUCACCCCCCUCUAAGUCCAAAACAUCUCCCGCAGGGUCGCUGUGGUGGCAUAAAGGGAAAGGUCCAAAGAUGUAACAAGAAGCUUCAGGCAGACCUUGAACGCUCUACCCAGUUGUUACGCCUACUGAACCAGAUUAUCUUCCCGAUUUUCAGACUUUUGAGAUUGAGGUCUGGAAGAGCACCGGGCUGAUGCAAAAGCACAAAACUGGUUGCAAAUUUUGAGGAGGAAUUUAGUCCGGUUGGUGCACGUUAGCUUUUUGGACUACUGAAUGUUCAUUUCUUAUAGUAAGGAAGUUGUUAGGGCUCUGAACUAUCUUUUCUUAUCAUGGUUAACCAUAUUAAGAUUAAAAACUCUUAACAGGAAAGUAACUCAAAGUUUGAAACUACAGUAAGUAGUUCAGAAACUGAAGAAAGAAAUAUCCCCCUGACACAGCAGAAGUACAAAAUGGGAACAAACAAUAUGUACCAUAUUCAGUUACAUCUGGUUUUAAAUAAAUAAUUUAAAAUAUUGAUGUUUGUUUCUUUGCUCAUCUAAUGCAUGCUGGACAUGACAAGGUUUGUAAUUGCAAUAGGAAAAAAAAAGCUAGCUUUAUAACUAGGAGGAUAAAUUAAUGAAAGAUUUUAUGGGGUAGGUAAUAACAUGGAUUGUUAUUCUUUCUAUUUUUUGUAGGCAAGAAAGAGAAAGAUAAGCUCAAACGUAUAGCUAGCCCUUAAUUUGAAUCAUUGGGAAAUUUUUAUUUAUUUGAUGUGUUUCGGUAGUGUUCUCCGUUUUAAUAAGCAUUUAUUUCUGGCUUA